UUGAGAAUCUUGCACAAUGGGGGGAACCCUGAUGCAGCGACGCCGCGUGGAGGAUGACGGGUCUAGGCCUGUAAACUCCUUUUACCAGGAAAGACUUAGGACGGUACCUGGUGAAUAAGCACCGGCUAACUACGUGCCAGCAGCCGCGGUAAGACGUAGGGUGCAAGCGUUAUCCGGAUUUACUGGGCGUAAAGCGCGCGUAGGCGGCUCGUUAAGUGUGAAGUGAAAGCCCAGGGCUCAACCCUGGAACUGCUUUACAUACUGGCGAGCUGGAGGGAUGCAGAGGUCUAUGGAAUUCCUGGUGUAACGGUGAAAUGUGUUGAUAUCAGGAGGAACACCCAUGGCGAAGGCAGUAGACUGGGCAUCUCCUGACGCUGAGGCGCGAAAGCGUGGGUAGCAAACAG
rnacentral:rRNA from 1 species